rnacentral:rRNA from 1 species
GAUGAACGCUGGCGGUAUGCUUAACACAUGCAAGUCGAACGGAGUGGCGGACGGGUGAGUAACGCGUGAGAAUCUGGCUUCAGGUUCGGGACAACAGUGGGAAACUGCUGCUAAUCCCGGAUGCCUGAAGAUGAGCUCGCGUCUGAUUAGCUAGUUGGUGGGGUAAGAGCCCACCAAGGCGACGAUCAGUAACUGGUCUGAGAGGAUGACCAGUCACACUGGGACUGAGACACGGCCCAGACUCCUACGGGAGGCAGCAGUGGGGCAUUUUCCGCAAUGGGCGAAAGCCUGACGGAGCAAUACCGCGUGAGGGAGGAAGGCUCUUGGGUUGUAAACCUCUUUUCUCAGGGAAGCGGUACCUGAGGAAUAAGCAUCGGCUAACUCCGUGCCAGCAGCCGCGGUAAUUC